UCAGCCUGGGUCCCUGAGAUAAUGUGGAGCAGAGCCCUCUCAGUUCCACAUUGCCCACAUCAUGAAAAAUAAACCUUUGUGUGGUUUUUUGUACAUGGAUGGAAAAAAAGACAACUGAGGACACUGAACAACAUUUCGUGUCAUACUCCACCUUUGAGGCUCAGUAAAAUGUUGAAAGUGGAGCAUUGUGGGCAGACUAGUGCCACCUGGUUGUGAGUCCCGUGUGGUCAGGACUGGAUCUAAUGAAAAUACUUUAAUGGGGAUGAAUAAACAGAGGAGCAUAAAGUUAUGCAUGUACAUUGAAUAAAGUAUAUUUUCAUCCAUAAAAUACAAGUUUAGCUUAGAUUGUUGUAUUAUCUCUCAUUGCAUAACAAAUUAACUCCAAAAGUUGGCUGCUCACAACUGACCACAUUUCUGAGUGUUGGGAAUGCAAUAACUGGUUCAGGAUCCCUUAAAGGUCAUGUCAGCUCUCGGUGG
rnacentral:lncRNA from 1 species